UCCAAUCAUUAGUGCUAAGCGCAUUUUCGGAUCUUCCUCCUGAGCUUGGGCAUCUGAUAAUAGAAGAAUAUUUAAGAGAUACUGAGGACCUGGCAGAAGAUCGGGAUCAAUUGCAGGAAAUGAUGGGGGAUUUAAUCUUUGUUAUUCCUGCCCUCAAACUGGCCAAAUAUCAAUAUGAUGGCUCAGAAGGACCAAUAUGGGUCCCCAAACGGAACAUCCGGACCUGUGCUCGAAGUGACCCAGAAACUUCAGACACUCGGAUUGCAGAACAAGCGCAGAGAUAAAAGAACUAGAAGGGAGCACCCGAGACAACGGAGGAGGACAACAAAGACAUUAUUACAAAUGAUGCUGCUGCUGCAGUUGACCUCUCUGGAGGCAAAAGACUGUGCAGCUUUGGACAUAUGUUAAUAAUCCUCCGUGGUCUAGAUUACUUACUUGGGAAGAUAAAGGGACUGGCAUUGUGCCUAUAGGACAAGCAGCAGAAUUUUUGGAAAAGGAGAGUUAUGUUUGCAUUGCUUACUAUCUUGCAGGGAUUAAAGGAAUGGUAGAUGUUACAGGAUACAUUGUGUUAACAGGGAAAAUGUUACCUAUUAUGCACUAGCAUCUCCUAUGGGGGUGGUAUGGAAUAUAUCUAUGUCUAUUGAAUCUAUUGGAGAUGAAUUUAGAUCCAUGUAAUUCUGGUGUUGUUGGAUGGAAAAUCAUUUGGAAGGUGCUUUUGCUUCUGAUUUGACAUUACUCAUGAUAUUGCUAACAGUCAUUUUCCAUAUACCAAAACAUUGGCUUGGAAUGUGUCAUUGGCAUAGUGUUGAAUUUAUUGGAGAUCUUUGAUUCUGAUUUGUCUUUUGCUAAAAAUCCAUUUCCAAGGGACUCAACCCCAGAACCUAGCUCGAGAAAUUUUGGAAAAUUGGGCAAAACCCAUAUAUUUGAAAAUGUACCUGCUUUACUGUUUCAUCUGUUUACAUGGGCAAUAUUGCCUGUUAUAUUAUCUACGGCAAUGGGUAAAUCAUGGUUCAAGUUUUCAGGUACAGAUGUUCAUCAUCUCAAGUCAAUUGCAAAAACAAAAGGAGGGAAUUGUUGAGGGCCAGAUCUGAAGAGUCUAAUAUGGGAUAAUGAAUUUAGGUCAGAGUUCUCUUUCCUUUUCCGACCCUUAAGGGCUUAUUUACUCAGAAUAUUUGGCUCACCAAUUUCCUGUGCCUGGGUGGUGUUAGAACACUCUGACCAAUCCUUGAAUCUUGCUAAUAAGCAGGUGUAUACAAUUAAAGUUGAGCAUAAGGGCUGGGGUUAGUCACAUGAGAAUCCUGGCAAUGCCUCAGGGGUGAUUGUUACCUUUCACUAUUUAAACUGGAUUUUCAGAAUAAUAAACAUCUCAGUCUGUCACUGACCUGCCUGGCCCACAUUUCUUCAUUUCACACUCCUCCAUGAGGUGCAACACCCCUGACUGAAAUUUGUUCAGAAAAAAAAAAUAGUUCAUUCAACUUAGAGGUAAGGUCUAGUGAACAAUAUUAGCCCUUCUCCAAGUUCAUGGCCAGGGCUGGGGGAUGGCAUUCCUUUGGCAGACUCACCGUACACAUGGACACCUUGAAAGGAAUAUAAAAAGAUGAACAACUCUCUUGGCCCUCGCCAUCACUCUCAAGUCUCAGUGACUUCUCUUCCCCAUGGGGAACCAUUAGGACAGGUGGUAGUGGGAAGAAUCCAAUACUGGAUUUGAAGUCCAAUAUUGUUGUGCUUGAUUCCUUGUGACCCCAGCUGGAGUUUUCUUGGCAAAUAAAUUGGAGUGGUUUCCC